CAGAGUUGCUCUCAUGCCUGACCUGCUUGGACGUAAUCCGAUGCACACUCACUGCCCGGACUAUGAUGCAUCCUGAGUUAUCCGACUUACAAACUGGCGAGAGCUGAGGUCAGCAGCAGUGGGGACCACGUGUUCCCUGGGUGGAGUCUCAGUCUGGGAAGAUGAGAGUGCUCUGGAGAUGGGCGGUGGUGGUUGCACAGCUAAGGACACGUACCCAAUGACCCUGAACGGGACACUUGGAAAUGUUUAACAUGACCCGUGACUGAGUGACCCGUGAUUGUGACCUCCUUGAUUGUGCAAAUGCACACGAGAGCAACCCACUGCGUCCCAUGGGUGACGCAGUGACCCGUGACCUCCUUGAUUGUACAAAUGCACAGGAGAGCAACCCACUGCGUCCAUCCGGGCUGGGGCACGCCCUCAGAGACAAGGCAAGUGCGAAUGUGGACAGCUGGUGUCAAUGCUGGGCUGCUCUCUGUGUGCCCCCCGCGACCUGUGACCUUAGCCGUGGCUGCCAAGAUCGAGGACACUCAUUGCCCAGCAGCAUGUGUCAGAACCGCCCCCAGGGCCCCCAGGGCAAGUGCCCGGUCUCCCCCUUACCUUCCUAAGAGUUUGUGCAGCAUCUUGUGCGGCAACCUGAGCAUGAUCUACCCCCGGGAGCCCAGGGGCUGCAGGGCGU